rnacentral:rRNA from 1 species
UACGUAGGGUGCAAGCGUUGUCCGGAAUUAUUGGGCGUAAAGAGCUCGUAGGCGGUCUGUCGCGUCUGCUGUGAAAACUCGGGGCUUAACCCCGGGCCUGCAGUGGGUACGGGCAGACUAGAGUGCGGUAGGGGAGAUCGGAAUUCCUGGUGUAGCGGUGAAAUGCGCCAGAUAUCAGGAGGAACACCGGUGGCGAAGGCGGGUCUCUGGGCAACAACUGACGCUGAGGAGCGAAAGCGUGGGGAGCGAACAGG